rnacentral:lncRNA from 1 species
UCCCCACGGGGGCCUCUUGGCCUCUGAGAAAGCCCGGCUGUCUGUCUGCUCAUCCCUCUUUCUGCGAUUUGGUACCCCCCCCCCCCCAUCAUCCCUCGGUUGUUUCAUGGUCAUUUCUCCUGGUGCCGUGAAAAAGCAGAGGUGGGGCUGGGCCAGCAGGUCAGUGACACAGGUCGGCCUCCUGGUGACCAGCGUGGCACAGUCGCAUUUCACGGAAGGGCUGGGGGGCGGUCCUGGUUGGGGGUGGUGGCGGUGGUGGCACCUGGCAGGUGAGGAGCUGAGAGACCCUUGGGCUGGAGUCCACCUGCACGUGCUGCACGGGAGACCCCCUGCCCCGGGGUGGGGGUGGUUGGUUGCUCCUCCUGCUUGGUCUGUGCUUAGAUUUCCUGCCCCUUCCUGUCCCCUCUCAAUACCUCUGUCCAGGGUAAAACUCCCACGGCUGGUGGCCCUGGCCUGGACAGAGGCGUGACUUUCUUGGCGCCCAGUGGGCUUCCCCGAGCUGUCCUGUCCGUGAGGCCCGAGGACUUGGUGCACAGAACCACGGGCCAGGGUGUUUCUUUGGGUUCGCAGGUGCUCGGAUUUCUUUUGCUGUUCCGUGGCUCCUGUGCGCGUGGGCUUGGGGACUGGUGGGCGUGGACGUGGCCUCCACAAGUGUAGUUCAAAGGAGAGGGCGCGUGAAAUGCCUUUCCCAGGAGAUGCGGGGCUGGGGCUGGGCUCUGGCUGAGGGAGGUGCUUUCAGGCGUCAGUGUUGUUUAUGAGAAGAAAAGAGCAACGUGGGUCUUUCUCGAGUGGCUUAAGUUGCCCUCUGAGAGAGCAUUAUAUUAGCGUUUCUCAACAAUUUCCACGGCUGAAUCUCUGGGCUGCGCCAGGGGCAUGGGUGGGGGGAGGCUGGCUUGGCCACGGGGCAGAGGCUGCUGUGUGUUCACCGGCUCCUGUGUGCCAACCGCACCCCUCUGCUGAAGGAAGGUUGGUGGGGCUUGUUGGCCUGGCCUGGGUGCCUCCCAGGGGCGGGCUGCUUCGCCUUGUACCAGGCCUCCCCCUGCAGAAGGACCCUGGCCUUGAAUUCUGCCUUCGGGCAGUGCCUGCACGUGUGGUUGGAUAGGAAGGUGGUGGAAUGCCCACCAGCCGAUCCUGUGUCUUCUCCCUGGAGAGGCAGGGGUAGGGUUCCAGGUAGUACGGCCCUAAACUUACAGACCUUCUGCACUGGAAAGGGGGUGGACCUUCGUGUAACGGGGCCUGGCCUGCCGCACCUGGUCACACGCUGGAGGCACCAGGGUCCCAGGGGCCAGACAGUGGCCCCCNNNNNNNNNNNNNNNNNNNNCAGACAGGCAGCUGGCAUUGUUUUACAUUUGUCUCGAGUCACUGAUCAAAAUGGCUUGUUAGGAUAACAUCUUUACCAUUGUUUUACUACGAAGCCAGGUUCUGUAUUUUCUGGUUUUAUGUCAAUUAACACAUAGUUUUCACGAGUUUUUGUUCAAGACAGGUUUCCACGUAUAAUACUUUGGGGGGUAUCUUUCGAGUUAAUUCUACACAUACGUUCUUGAUGGAAACAAAACUCUGGCCCCAGAAAGUUGAAGCUGAGCUGCCACAGACCCUCCGCCUGGGGCGGGAGCUGCUCGGCCUGCCCACGUGACUCGAGGACCCCGCUCCAGAACCUUCCAUGAGAGGCUUCCACGUGCCGCCUGCGCGGAGCCUCUCAUUUGCUUGGGUCGCGCGUGGAGUCUUCCACCCCGGCUGAGUGCAGAGGCCCGUCGAAUGCAGUUUCCACGUCCCUUCUAGAUCAGAUUCAUCAACGUCCAUGGAAGCCCCACGACAGCUGCAGCGGACUUGGGAAAACUGCCUGGAAAAUAAACACGAGUUUUUCUCCUGUUUGAUAGAGUGAUGUCUCAGUUUUGAACAUUAGAGUCCAGUUUUGGAUUUAAAAAGCCGACCCGAGGGGACGUUGACCUUGGCCUGUGCCCUUGCUGUGUAGCAGCCCGUGAGUGAGGUGUUUCAUGCUGUUUGAUGCUUAUGCCAGUCCUGGGGGCCCUGGAGGGCCCGCCCCCAGAAUCGAAGACCUCUGUGAGCUCUGCGGGGCCAGGAGAAGGAGUUCCACGGACCCCUUGAGUGACGGGAGGGGAGCUGCAGCUUGCUCCGGUGAGAAGAGGGGUGAUGGGCCGAGCAGAGGAGGUGGGGGGUGGGGGGUGGCUGAAGCCCUGGGGCUCCCCGUGCACCAGCUUUGGGCUACAAGGAGGCGCCCUGAGAGGUCACAGGGCAUUUGCUCGGGGACCCGGGUAAGACAUGUGCUGGGGGCAAGGACCGGUCCCCUGACUUCGGAGGUCUCCCUCGGCUCCUCCUUGGCCCCGUCUCUUCUGUGAGCAGCCUGGGCAUCGGGUCGAGGGAUGGAGACGCAGCCUCUCCAAGGCCACUGGGUCCCGGGGACACCCUUCCGCAGCCCUGCUUAGAUCUCGGGCCAGAGGCGCUCAGACCCACGUCUGGUCCUGUCUCUCCAAGUCCGGCGCCCGGGGUUCCCCACGGGCGUUUCCCCCGCUUUGUCCUUUUCCUUCCCCCGCAGAGAUAGUGGACGCAUCCGGCCGGCAGGAAUCGUCCUUCCUGUGUUGGUCACUUGUCCCGAGCCUGGGCUGGGUCCAAGCUGCCGGGUCGGAUCUGUGGGGAACCCGUCCUGUGGGGCAGCGCUGUUCCUGGAAAGCUGGGUCCCGCCCGGCCAGGGCCGCCGGCUGCAUCCUUGCUCCUUGUCACCGCGCACGUGGGGGCAGAAGUUGCCUGUGGGCGGACAGGCGGAUGUGCUGCUAAUUCGUCCUUGUUCCUGGAAGCGCAGUGGGAGCUCCCAGCAAAGGGCGAGCCAGGCCCCGUGAUUUCUUCCUGUCAGAGAGAGGUGACCAGCUUCUGGUGGGGUUUCCACGGAUGAGACGGGCAGGGCCUGAGCAGUCCCGGUGUUGGUCUGGGCACGGGGACACCGCCAGCCUUCCUGGUGGUGUAUUGUGCCGGUGAGGCCAGACGAGGCCCCAGGUGCACCUGCCGCAGCGUCUGGGGAGAGUUGCUGUUUGUCCCCCGCCCUCGGGCCUGUUUGUGUGACAGCUCGCUGUUCAGUGGGAGUGGGUGUUGAUUCUAGGCUGUGAGCUGCAAAUUCAUUUGUAUAAUCUUUACCCGUGUCAUCCCCCAGACCCCCGCACAACCUAGAACCCCGUCUGACCAUGAGCAAGACAUGGGUCUCCAGUGGGGGUGUGUCCUGUAAUGCCUUGCUCAGUGUCCCCAGGACCGUCUGAGGCUGUUGCAGCCGAGCAUCCCAUGUAGGACGGGAUCCUGGGAUGGAAAAGACUCCAGGAACCCAGGGGACCCGAGGGAAGCGUUGACUUUGGUUAGUAAUACAUCAGUGUGAAGAGUGAGAUGCUGCCGUUUGCAGCAACCCGGGUGGACCUAGAGCUGACCGUGAGGUAAGUCGGACACGGAAGCUCCGCAUCGUACGUUGUCGCCUGUACACGGCACCUGCAGGAGAGAAACAGACCCACAGACCUAGAAACCAGACUCAGGGGUACCGAGGGGAAAAGGGAGAGGGAUGAGCCAGGGUUUGGGGACUGAGGCGUUUACACCUCUCUGUAUAAAACAGAUAAGCAGGGACCUGCUGCACAGCACAGGGAACCAUAUUCGAUGUCUUAUGAUAACGUAUAAUGGAAAAUGAUCUGUAAAAGAAUAGAUGUGGAAAGAAUACGUGCAUAAAAGGAAUAUACGUAUAUGUAAAACUGAGUCACGUGACACCCGAAACUAACGCAGCAUGGAAAGCCACGGAAAGUCAUUGUCAGGCAGCAUCGCAAGUCAGCUGGACUCCCGUGGAGCAGUCGGUACACAAGGUCCCGUGGCGGUGGAUGUUGCCACCGGGAGGCUGCGUGCGGUGGUUGCUGGUCACUAACAGGCACUCUGCUCGGCUUUUGGUCAAGUCUGUUGAGAAACUUCAAACAAAAAAAAUUGUGGCCCUUCUCUCUGGCCGAUUCUGUGUGAAUGAAGGCUGUAGGUUCUGAACUUCUGACUGUCGUCCUUUGGGGAUUAGUCCACAUCGGUACAAAAACGGUUUCCUGUUUUACUUCGUGGCUGUGCGUGGAUGUGACGUCCGUUCAGCGGUCGUCCUUGGCGGCUGCUGACCUGUGCCCAUCUUCCCACUGUUGGCUGCCGCCAGCGGCGCUGCCAGAGGCGACGUCUUCUUCUUUUCCUUCGGGUCUUUUUAGGGCCGCUCCCGCGGCAUAUGGAGGGUCCCAGGCUAGGGCUCUAAUCGGAGCUGCAGCCGCCGGCCCACACCACAGCCACUGCAACGCGGGAUCCAAGCCACAUCUGCAACGUAUACCACAGCUCAGGGCAACGCUGGAUCCUUAACCCCCUGAUUGAGGCCAGGGAUCGAACCCACAACCUCAUGGACCCUAGUCAGCUUUGUUUCUGCUGCGCCAGGACGGGCGCUCCGUGAGUGAACCUCUUGUUGAGUACGCAGGCUUCUCGAAGAGUGCACCUGCCGGCAGUGCUGAGUGUGAGUCCUCGCAGGAGGAGAACAAACAGGGCAGGGAGCGGACACCCCGGUGCCCAGUGGCCUUUGUGUGUCCCUCUCGGUCCCUGCAGCCCCUCCCCUGUCCCUGGUAACCUCCUUUCUAGCUUCUGACACCUGGGAUGCGUUCUUCCUGGUCUGGAACUUUCUAUCAGUGCAACCACAGAACAUUCGCUCUCUCUGUCUGGCUUCUUUCACUCAACGUGUAUGUGAGGCUUCCUGACAUCGUGACACAGAGUUUCUGUUCACGUCCUUGACUGGGAAAUAUUCCGUUGUACGGACAGAUGACAGUUUGUUGAGGACAGGGGGGUGGCCUUCCCUGUCCUGCUGCUCUUACCGGCUUGUGGGUGUCUGUUGGGUGGCAUUUCCGUUGACAGUGCAUGUCUGGGCAGAGCGGUUUCCAGGUUUCCCGUCCCGGUUUAUGCUCAGGGCGUGUGAGCGGUGCCCUGGCGGCCCCGGCCAGUGCUUGGCCCUCUCCUUCCUUGCGGUUCCAGCCACUGCCACUCGCCUUGCGUUUCCCCAACGACCGAAGCGUCUGUGCAUCAAGCAGCUCCAUAGCUCUUUCGGGGAACUGCUGUUUAAAUCUUUUG